rnacentral:rRNA from 1 species
UCGUAGUUGGAUACGAAUAGGCCUCCGGGCCAUGCACCUCAGCAGGCUGGCGACGGCUCCUAGGGAGAAGCCCCUGGGAGCUGGCUGGCGAAUUGCAAUGUCACCUCGCGCGGGGAUGAAUCCUCUGCAGACGACUGAAGUGACCAAGCGGGUCGUGUACGCGGUCAAGUAGCCUUGUUGCUACGAGUCGCUGAGCGUCAGCCCGUCCUUGGCUAGAUUU